CGGCAACAGCUCAAAUUUGAAAUCUGGCGCCUUGUGCGCCCGAGUUGUAAUUUGUAGAGGAUGUUUCGGGUGCGGCACCGAUCUAAGUUCCUUGGAACAGGGCGUCAUAGAGGGUGAGAAUCCCGUAUGUGACCGGUCGCCUAUCCCAUGUGAAACUCCUUCGACGAGUCGAGUUGUUUGGGAAUGCAGCUCAAAAUGGGUGGUAUAUUUCAUCUAAAGCUAAAUAUUGGCCAGAGACCGAUAGCGCACAAGUAGAGUGAUCGAAAGAUGAAAAGCACUUUGGAAAGAGAGUUAAAAAGUACGUGAAAUUGUUGAAAGGGAAGCGCUUGCGACCAGACUCGCCCGGGGGUGAUCAACCGUCCUUUUGGGCGGUGCACUUUCCCUCGGGCGGGCCAGCAUCGGUUCGGGCGGCUGGAUAAAGGCUUCGGGAAUGUAGCUCCUCUCGGGGAGUGUUAUAGCCCGGGGUGCAAUGCAGCCAGUCUGGACCGAGGACCGCGCUUUUGCUAGGAUGCUGGCGUAAUGGUCGUCAGCGACCCGUCUUGAAACACGGACCAAGGAGUUAACCACCGGUGCGAGUGUUUGGGUGUCAAACCCGUACGCGUAAUGAAAGUGAACGGAGGUGAGAACCCCUUUCGGGGCGCAUCAUCGACCGAUCCUGAUGUCUUCGGAUGGAUUUGAGUAAGAGCACCGUUGGUUUGACCCGAAAGAUGGUGAUCUUUACGCGGAUAGGGUGAAGCCAGAGGAAACUCUGG
rnacentral:rRNA from 1 species